GAAGAUUCCUCCUUUUGGAGUUUUUCAACAAGACCAGGGUAUUGAUGUUAUAAUAUGCCAUUGACAAGAAACAGUACCCAUGACACUGGCAUAAAUGAGUGAAGGAAGAGAUUGGAAGAAGUGCCUGGGGGAAAUUUAGAGGGUGCAGAAGACCCCUGAACACCAUCCCAACCAGUGUAACCUGUACAGAAGAACUGAGGUACAGAGAAGCUAAAUGACUUCCCUGAGGCCAUACAGGAUGUCUCAAGCAAUGCAAAGAAUGAAAUUGUUUCAUAGCAAGAAGAUCACUGGAGUCCUGUGGUGGAUCCUCCAGCACAGGAGUGCUGAGAUGUACACUACGACCUUUACUGGCUAAAAAAAAUAAGAUCAGGCAUCCUCUUGUCAGAGCCCAAAGUACACUGUAUAUCUGCUGUGUUUACAGAGAGCUUUCCUUGGUUUCAAUUUCUGGAGUUAAACCUUUAAUCUCUGCAAUUCAAAACCUGUGGGAAUCUUAUUAAUAAUGGAUCUAACGUAGUAUUUUUCCAUAUCUAAAAUCCUUUUACUGUUCAGAUGUGCAGCCUCAGAAAACACCUUAUGAAGAGGUAGUAGGUAGUUAUUUAGGUAGCUAUUCCUUUCUUUAGAAAUCUUUCCAUGGGUAGAAGUUAAUUUAGUUAAACUAAACUCUAGAAGGUAUAUUUAUUCAGCGUAUUUCAUCUCUGUAUGCAUACCACUGUGCCCAAUCAAAGGUACGCUAGCAGAAGACUGUUGAGACUGUAAACACAUAGAAUAACUUUUUGCAUCAGUCCAAUUUCCAGCCUUCUUCAUCAGCUGUGAUGCAGAAUGUCAGGGUGAAGAAAUAAGAAGGAUACAGCUGCUCUCCGUCGUACCGUUGGUCCUACACAUGCAAGCUAACGCAGCAAGGAUUGUCUGCUGGGUACUUUAUCCCUGCUCAAGAACGAGGACACAGAGUUUUCCCUGAACAUGGACAGUCUCUUACAUCAUGCAUUCUAUGAUGGUGUUGUGAUUGACUCAAGCUGUUUGAUUUGCAGCAGGGACCAAGAUCCAGCACAAAAAUACAUGGGAAAAGCCAAAUUCUUCAUCAACUUCUGACAAGUCAGGGUAAGGAUAAGCAUGAUUAAGCAAGUGCGUGAGCCUGAAUAGAUGAAAAGUUGAGGUGUUCUUGGAAAUGCAGCUCUCGCUGCAUAAUGCUGCACAAAGAUCUGCCCACUUAAUUCUGUCUGAGAGAGCAUUAAACGAUCAAUCAGCAGCUCACCCACACAGCCAUUUACCUUCAGUAGAAAAAGGGACAGACCUUGCAUGGGAAGAAGAGCCACUUGCUCAGUCAGGCAGUCACAGAAGCUGGAAAGCUGAAGGAUGAACUGUUCAGAUGAGCAAAAUGCAUCCCAGUUACUUGUGGUACCUCUAGAUAGUCUACAAGAAGUUACAUCAAACAGGACAGCUGGCACAGCCCACAUGAUUCUUUGUUUUGUACAGGAAAAUGGCCACAAAAAGAGGUCACAGGAGCACAGCAGCCAUGGUCAGACAUCUGCACAAGCUCUUGCAACAUAAUAUAAUCAUCAGAGUGGCAGUCCCCUCUGUUGUAAGUCCGCAUCAUGCUUCCAUCAGCAUGCAAAUAGUAGCACUUCAUAUGUGGUCACACUAAUGAGGCAUGACUGUGUGACCAUCCAGAUACAUUCUUGACUUGACUUCCUGUCAUUGGUAAGCCCACUCUGGCCAAAUAUGUUGCACAACAAUGGCUGUUGCCAGAUGCCAUUUAGCAGAUCAAAAAGACAAUAGAUGGUUACUCCCAGUUUGUGAGUUGCUGAGUCAUUAAGAGGAAAAAUAGAGUAUGAUUCACCAUAUAUGAACAAGAUAUGGGCAUUCUUGUUGCAGUGCUGUCUCAUAAUUAGAUAUCAUGCCACAGAGAAAAAUCAAUGCAUGCUAUCCAAAUGGUAUUUCACUGUAUACUACUAAAAACUAGAAAGCUGGUGAGAUACCACCAUUGCUGGCUACGAAUGACCCACAAGUCUGUGAUUUAUGUACUGAUACUUUCUACUAUAGGAACACAGACCAGAAUACCACUGAUAAAUGCAGAUGUGAAAAGGAGAAAUGUACAUGGGUCAUCUUAGCUAAGUUAACCUAGACUUCUCAGUAAGACAUGCUCUUGUAUUUCCAGCACAUAUGGUACCUGUAAACACACAAUGGAUUUAUCGUGUACAUCUUGAACUUCUUAACCUGUCCCAUUCAAGUUACUACAAAAAGUAGCUGAGCUUCACUCCCUAAUGUGUACUGUUUGACAGUCACCAGUCCAAGUGAGAAACAGAGCCCACAGGCGGGCAGAAUGUUACUGAUGAUACCCUUUGAGAAAUUAAAAUGAGCAGCCAUCAAAACUAGUAAUAAUGUGUAACAUCAAAAGAUUCUUUAUUAGAGGUCAUGCAUUCCACCUACUUGUCUUCUCACUUCAAAAACCAAAUUAACACACACAUUCUUUGAAGUGCUGGUGUUUACUCAGGAACUGCUAGAUCAUCACCAAGUAUGGUAAAGAUAUAAUGACUAAGCAAAAGUAUUUUGCACCUUCUAUCUUUGCAUGCUGCUUUGCACAAGUACAUCACUAAAUGUGCUCUAGAUUGCUAAUGCCCAGCUGCACUAAAUGGCUUGUGGCCCACUGAAUUGUGGAGAGCCUUCAGGCCUCAAGACCAUACACUGGUAAUGAUCUACCUGUCAGGAUAGGCAACAUCUCACUCACUUUCUCUGUCACUUGUGCUUAUCUGGUGGUCUGUCUGCUUCUUAUUAAAUGACAUGAAAGUGACAGGUGUCGGUCUCCUGGCACCCAGUUCCUCCAGUCAGCUGUCUAGUCCUUCCCUACUCCUGGGUUAUCAUAAAAGAAGUAGAUAUCAACCUCUUCCAAACAAAGGAAGGGAAAAAAAAAUGAGAGAAACAGAUAGGAAACCACUCCUGGUGAAAUACCAAAGCUCUUUUAUUCAUGGAAUCUGGCGUUUACUCUUCCAAGUGGCUUUCUAUGAACAUGGCAGGAUUUGUUGACAGAGAGGGACUUCGUGCCCUGGCUUUUUCAGUGUUUUUCUCUUUCCCAUUGCCGAUUAUUAAAUGUGUUCACUUCUCAGAUACUUGUCUCUUUGCUCUAGAAAUAGCACAGAAAUAAUAUUUCAGCUGAAUGAGAACACGCUGACUUCUGAUGUUUUCAACAAUAGAUGGGUUGAUGUGAAUAUGAAAGAUAAUGUACUUGAUUUGCUUCAUUUUUACCAGCCUCUAGAGAGUUUAAUCUAUCCAGAAAAGAAGUGUCUGUCUGAUUUUUUUUUCUUGUGUGACUGUCAUGUCAUCAUCUUGUAAGACAGAGUUAUUCUGAAAACAAAAAAGUAGAAUUCAUAAAGCAUUUUGAUCAUGGGCCAGAUUCUAUCACUUUUACUCAUCCUAUUUGUAUGUCAAACUUAUCUAUGAGAGUAUGCUGAGAUAUCAGCCUACUAUCAUCAAAAUGGCGACACCCAGAUUCAAUGUCCAAACUUUGAAAGAAGGGAUUUUUCUGAAUGCUUAUCAAUAUUUACUUGAAUUGAAACUGUCAGAUUCAGCUUUACAUAAGUGGCCCAAAAGAGCAUAUGUUUACUUUAAAAUGUAAGCUUAUUUUGUGUAUACCCUAAUAUCUAUUCCCAUUCAUUUUAGGAAAAAAAAAAUUCUUCAAAUAUUAUGCAACAAGAAAAAGAUUUCUCAGUCUUUGUUUUCUAAUUUUUAUAAUGGUCUUUUUGAAUCUUCCCAUUAGGAAAGCCAUACAGUGCGUAUUAUUUACAAGGAUGGUUCUGAUUCCCUGAUCUGUCUGGAUAACUCUGACCAGAAGAGAAAAAAAAAAAUGUAAGAUUAUGCAGAAUAAGAGAGAGGUUGUUCAAUAAUCACCAGCAGCCAGCCCCCAAAAGGUCACUGCACCUCCUUACACGUGGGGCCCCAUCCUUCAACUGUGGGCAUACCAGUUGCAACUAUUCUGCUUCAGUUUUUCCAUCUGCCAAAAGAAAAUAGAUUACAAAUUUACAAAUUUUCACCUCUAGCUCAACUUCUGGUAAAUAUGGCCUUUCCCUGCACUUAAGAAUUAAGAAUUUAAGAAUUAUUUAAGGAGAUUAAUAAUUUUAGACAUUUAUUAGCGAUAAAAUCAAAAGAAGUUCUGUGUUUUCGUUUCCAUUACAGCCUGCAUUUUUCCAUUGACUUUGGUGUUUACCAGAUCAGUUGAAUAACAAGUUUGAGAGGCUCUGUGGCAAAAUUCACAAUGAAACAAAUAAAGAUUUCCUGUCAGCUCAUUUUUUCAAAGAAAUACUGAAUAUAACUUAGGUAAGUAGUCCAGAUUCAUUUGCUACUUGCAGUGUUUUGCCAUGCUUUUUUAUAGAUGCAUUCAGCCACGUGUAAUUGCAUCAUUUGGAGAGGGACUUUUUAUAAGGGCAUGUAGCGACAGGACUAG